rnacentral:rRNA from 1 species
UACGUAGGGUGCAAGCGUUUAUCCGGAAUUAUUGGGCGUAAAGAGCUCGUAGGCGGUUCGGUAAGUCGGGUGUGAAAACUCUGGGCUCAACCCAGAGAGGCCACCCGAUACUGCUGUGACUAGAGUGCGGUAGGGGAGCGGGGAAUUCCUGGUGUAGCGGCGAAAUGCGCAGAUAUCAGGAGGAACACCAGCGGCGAAGGCGCCGCUCUGGGCCGUAACUGACGCUGAGGGAGCGAAAAGCAUGGGGGAGCGAAACAGG